rnacentral:rRNA from 1 species
ACCACUUUAAUUUGAUGGGUUACGUAAGCUUUAAGUAUAUUUAAAUAUGGAAUUUCUUUGAUAGAUUUCCAGUUUAAGAUUUUAAACAAUAUAUGAAAAUAUAAUUUAGAUAAUUUAUUAAUUUUGGUUAAUUAGGUGCCAGCAACCGCGGUCAUACCUAGCAAACUAGUUUACUAAGAUAGUAAAUACUUUUUCAUUUCGAUAUUAGUUAAUAAGUAGUGAAAUACUAUUAAUAUAUUACACCAACAAUAUGAAUAACAAUUAAAUCCAUGAGUAAAACUAGGAUUAGAGACCCUAUUAUUAUGGGCUUUGAACUAUAUUUACUAAGAAGUAAUAUCUAAAUUUAAAACUUAAAUGUUAUGGCGGCUAACUAAAAUAAUUAGGGGAACUUACCAUAUAAUUGAUAGUCACCAAGCAUAAUCUAACUUACUAUAAUAAUUUGUAUACCGUUGUCUUCAUGAACUUCUUAAAGGGGUUUAUAAUCAUAUACCAUUUAAUGACAAAUCAAGGUGCAGUCUAUUAGUAAGCAUUGAGGUGAGUUACAAUAUUUAUUUUAUUCGGAAUGAAGUAUGAAAUAACUCAGGAAGGUGGACUUAAAAGUACUUUAUAAAUUCAAAAAUAGUAAAAGAAUCGGAUUUAUUUAGUGUA